AGAGUUUGAUCAUGGCUCAGAAUGAACGCUGGCGGCGUGCUUAACACAUGCAAGUCGAACGAGAAAGGGAUUGCUUGCAAUCCUGAGUAGAGUGGCGCACGGGUGAGUAACACGUAGAUAAUCUACCUUCAAGCCUGGGAUAACUGUUUGAAAGAGCAGCUAAUACCGGAUAAAGUAUGUCGACAUAAGUCAACCUAUGAAAAGUUGCCUCUUCUUGAAAGCAAUUGUUUGGAGAUGAGUCUGCGGACCAUUAGCUUGUUGGUGGGGUAAAGGCCUACCAAGGCUGCGAUGGUUAGCUAGUCUGAGAGGAUGAUCAGCCACACUGGAACUGGAACACGGUCCAGACUCCUACGGGAGGCAGCAGUGAGGAAUUUUGCGCAAUGGGGUAACCCCUGACGCAGCAACGCCGCGUGAGUGAAGAAGGCCUUUGGGUCGUAAAGCUCUGUCAACUGGGAAGAAGUUACAUUAUAUUAAUAGUAUAUUGUAUUGACGGUACCAGUGGAGGAAGCGCCGGCUAACUCCGUGCCAGCAGCCGCGGUAAUACGGGGGGCGCAAGCGUUAUUCGGAAUUAUUGGGCGUAAAGGGCGCGUAGGCGGUUUUGUCGGUCAGAUGUGAAAGCCCAGGGCUCAACCCUGGACGUGCAUUUGAAACAGCAAGACUUGAGUACGGGAGAGGAAAGCGGAAUUCCUGGUGUAGAGGUGAAAUUCGUANAUAUCNNAGGAACACCGAUGGCNAANGCAGCUUUCUGGNNCNAUACUGACGCUGAGNNGCGAAG
rnacentral:rRNA from 1 species